UACGUAGGGUCCGAGCGUUGUCCGGAAUUACUGGGCGUAAAGAGCUCGUAGGUGGUUUGUCGCGUUGUUCGUGAAAACUCACAGCUCAACUGUGGGCGUGCGGGCGAUACGGGCAGACUUGAGUACUGCAGGGGAGACUGGAAUUCCUGGUGUAGCGGUGGAAUGCGCAGAUAUCAGGAGGAACACCGGUGGCGAAGGCGGAUCUCUGGACCAGUUCUGACACUGAUGAGCGAAAGCCAGGGGAGCAAACAGG
rnacentral:rRNA from 1 species